AUUGAACGCUGGCGGCAGGCCUAACACAUGCAAGUCGAGCGGAUGAAGGGAGCUUGCUCCUUGAUUCAGCGGCGGACGGGUGAGUAAUGCCUAGGAAUCUGCCUGGUAGUGUGGGAUAACGUCCGGAAACGGGCGCUAAUACCGCAUACGUCCUGAGGGAGAAAGUGGGGGAUCUUCGGACCUCACGCUAUCAGAUGAGCCUAGGUCGUAUUAGCUAGUUGGUGGGGUAAAGGCCUACCAAGGCGACGAUCCGUAACCGGUCUGAGAGGAUGAUCAGUCACACUGGAACUGAGACACGGUCCAGACUCCUACGGGAGGCAGCAGUGGGGAAUAGUGGACAAUGGGCGGAAGCCUGAUCCAGCCAUGCCGCGUGUGUGCAGAAGGUCUUCGGAUUGUAAAACACUUUAAGUGGGGAGGAAGGGCAGUAAGUUAAUACCUUGCUGUUUUGACGUUACCAACAGAAUAAGCACCGGCUAACUUCGUG
rnacentral:rRNA from 1 species